UAUAUGUAUGUAUGUAUGUAUGUAUGUAUGUAUGUAUGUAUGUAUGUAUGUAUGUAUGUAUGUAUGUAUGUAUGUAUGUAUGUAUGUAUGUAUGUAUGUAUGUAUGUAUGUAUGUAUGUAUGUAUGUAUGUAUGUAUGGAAUCACUUUGGGUCCUGUUUGGAUGCUAUGAAUUGGGAUGUGCUAUAUAUCUUAAGUGCUAUGAGUUGGGCCCAGUUUGGAUCAUAGCAGGGACAAAGGAAAGGGAGCGACAUUAUACAUAGCUGGUACCCUGAAACCAAAAAUAUGACCUAGCACACAAUAGUAAUUAAAAUAGAUAUAACAAAGUAAUAUUUGUAGGGAGUAUCAUGAAAAGGAAACAAAUACAAAAUCGAAUAACGAUGGGGUUGAAGUUUGGUAGAUGGAAAAGUUUUGGCAACAUGGAAUUUCUCGUGUUAUCUUUCCAACAUUUAAAUUUCACAUAAAAAUAUUUCCAAAAGUUUUGGCUGUCUAAUUGUCUUUGCGAUACUCUUCCUCUGAUCAUAAUUCUUCCCAUCAUAUACACA
rnacentral:lncRNA from 1 species